rnacentral:hammerhead_ribozyme from 1 species
AUCCAUCUAACGCGUCUCAAACAGGACGAAAUGCGCGUCUUGAAU